rnacentral:tRNA from 1 species
GCGGGUGUAGCUCAACGGUAUAGAGCACCGGUCUCCAAAGCCGAAUGUUGCAGGUUCGAAUCCUGCCACCCGUGC